CCUUUCCCUUCUCUGCCCCGCUACUGUUUCCUUUCAAUCCUUAACAGAUUUCCAAAAAAGAGUAUCAGGGCCAAGCCAGUCUUGCUUGUGAGGAGAAGAAUACAAAAUGGAAGACAGUACUUUCUAAGAAAACAAACUGUCUUUUGCAUGGCUGGAAACUUCUUACAUGGACGGGAUUACAACAGACCACUACCCAGAACCUUCGAUGAAGAAUUUGAAACCCCCAUGCAAUCAAAGUGAAUGCUCCCACUGUGAGGAAGAAGGCAGGUUGAAAUGUCACAGUUUAUUUAGGCAAGUGCUGUUUUAAAAGAGUUGCACCUGGAGCUCUGAAGAUGUGACAUGGUCCUGAAAUUGACUAAACAAAAUCUCCCUUCUUUUGAUGUCCAGCAGAGUUCCUUGUUGUUUGUGAUUGCCUUUCACACCUAUAUAGGACAGUCUUCAGAGAAUAGUAUUUGGGAUCGGAAAAAAAAAAGUUGUGUUUCCACAAAAAGUGUGUUUUUUUCCAGCCUUUAAGAAUAUGCAAAUAUG